rnacentral:rRNA from 1 species
GACAGAGGUGCCGAGCGUUAGGCGGAAUCACUGGGCUUAAAGCGUGUGUAGGCGGCCCGUUAAGUACCUUGUGAAAUCCCCCGGCUCAACCGGGGAACGGCUGGGUAUACUGGCGGGCUUGGGUCACCCAGGGGCAGACGGAACAAGCGGUGGAGCGGUGAAAUGCGUAGAUAUCGGAAAGAACACCAACGGCGAAAGCACUCUGCUGGGCCGACACUGACACUGAGAGACGAAAGCUAGGGGAGCGAAUGGG